CUUGGCCUCUCAAAGUGCUGGGAUUACAGGCAUGAACCACCACGCCCAGCCAUUUUUUGUUUUUGGGUGUUUAUUAGUGGGUUGGUGCUCAUUUGAAAUGCGCAAAAGGGCAGGGGAGUGAGGAUGGGGCCAAGCAUGGCGGCCACACCUGGACCUCACCUCUUCCUCUGUGGUGUGUGGCAUGAGGUCCCUCCUCCCCACUGACACCUGAGAUGUCCACAGCACCUGAGAAUGUUCGACACACCAUAAACAUCAGCCAUUGUCACAGCGGUCCUCAUGACAUGGAUGAAGAGCUUCCUGGGCCACAGCGGGUGUGCUCCAUGCUCCUCUGCAGGUCACACUUUGUUUUCACAUAGUCGGAUGUGCUAUGAAGCCAGCCAUAAAGUUCAGGAUGACCAAGAAUAUAAUUUGAAAAUGAAUUUGUUUACUGUCCUUAAUGAACACAAUAACCAACAACUCCAGAACGUACGUUAUUUUCAAGGGCAUGUCAGAUAUUAACCGAAAUAGAUCAUAUGCUGAGCCAUAAGGUAUUGAUAGAUAACUACUUUGAAAAACAAGUUUCUUAAAAAGUUAAACAAACACCUCUCAUAUAGUCUAGCUGUUCUACUUCUAGAAGUUUACCCAAGAGAAAUAGAAACAUAGAUCCAAGAAAUUAUUGUACAAGAAUAUUCAUAGAUUUGCUUAUAAUUAGCCAGAAACUAAAAAAAAA